UUGACGGGGCCCGCACAAGCGGUGGAGCAUGUGGUUUAAUUCGAAGCAACGCGAAGAACCUUACCAGGUCUUGACAUCCCCUGACAACCGAGAGAUCGGGCGUUCCCCUUCGGGGGACAGGGUGACAGGUGGUGCAUGGUUGUCGUCAGCUCGUGUCGUGAGAUGUUGGGUUAAGUCCCGCAACGAGCGCAACCCUCGACCUUAGUUGCCAGCAUUCAGUUGGGCACUCUAAGGUGACUGCCGGCUAAAAGUCGGAGGAAGGUGGGGAUGACGUCAAAUCAUCAUGCCCCUUAUGACCUGGGCUACACACGUGCUACAAUGGGCGGUACAAAGGGUCGCGAACCCGCGAGGGGGAGCCAAUCCCAUAAAACCGGUCGUAGUCCGGAUCGCAGUCUGCAACUCGACUGCGUGAAGUCGGAAUCGCUAGUAAUCGUGGAUCAGAAUGUCACGGUGAAUACGUUCCCGGGUCUU
rnacentral:rRNA from 1 species